rnacentral:rRNA from 1 species
AUUAGGAAUCUUGCACAAUGGGGGAAACCCUGAUGCAGCGACGCCGCGUGGGUGAGGAAGGCCUUCGGGUUGUAAAGCCCUUUUACCAGGGAAGAAACAAAUGACGGUACCUGGGGAAUAAGCUCCGGCUAACUACGUGCCAGCAGCCGCGGUAAUACGUAGGGAGCGAGCGUUGUCCGAAGUUACUGGGCGUAAGCGCGCGUAGGCGGGCUGUUAAGUGAGAGGUGAAAGGCUGGGGCUUAACCCCAUGCAGUGCCUCUCAUACUGGCGGUCUUGAGUGCGGCAGGGAGAAGUGGAAUGGCUGGUGUAGCGGUGAAAUGCGUAGAUAUCAGUCGGAACACCGGUGGCGAAGGCGGCUUCUUGGGCCUGGACUGACGCUGAGGCGCGAAAGCUGGGGGAGCGAACGG